ensembl:lncRNA MAPK8IP3-AS1 MAPK8IP3 antisense RNA 1
GUAAAAACAAGCCGCCCAGCUCCCCUGCAGGCAGGCGGAUGGACAAACGGCACUGCUGGGACCCUGCUUGGCCAUGGGGGAAGGACACACACAGCCUGGGUGAGUCCCCGAAUCACUGUACCGAGUGGAAGAUGUCAGAGGAAACCACGUACGCACUGCAGGAGGCCAUUAUGCAAAGCUCUAGAAGAUGCAAAUUAACCUACAGUGACUGAAGGCAGAAAGAAAACAAAAAGCAGCCCAAGGCGAAAAAGUCGAUCCUGUGCCCUGAGCACAGGCAGUCCUGAGGUGCGAGCGGUUUCCCACCAGGCUCUUCUUGGCCUUUCGAGAACUUCAGCCCCUCUCUGCUGUUUCCUGUUGCUGGCAUCCACUUUCCCAUCUCACAAUAUUUUCUCCUGUCUGGUCUCCUGUAUCUGAAACCCACUGCUACGGGAUCUCCCCUCUUUCUGGAAAAUGUUCAUUAAACAGGAAACAAACCCACC